CCAAACUCUUGCCUGUUCUCACAACCAAACUACACUUGCCUCUGAGUCUCUGAAACAUUGGCUUUAUUGUGGACCUGGGUUCAAGCCGAAGAAAAGCUAUUGUCCCUGACGCUUGUUGCAGGAACAUGGCAGGGUUGGGAGCCAACAGUGAUGUCAUGGUGAAACUUGAUGAUGGGCACUUAAACAACUCCCUGCGUUCUCCAGUUCAAGCUGGCGUGUACUUCCGUGGGCACAUUAAAGGUGGUAUGAGACCAGGCAAGAAGGUAUUAGUGAUGGGCAUCGUAGAUCACAACCCCAAAAGCUUUGCCAUCAGCUUGACUUGUGGUGACUCUGAAGAUCCUCCUGCCGAUGUGGCGAUUGAACUCAAAGUUGUGUUCACAAACCAGCAGGUCUUUAGAAACUCUUGUAUCUCAGGAGAAAGCGACGAAGAGAAUUUGGCAUUUCCUUACUUUCCAUUCGUCCCCGACCAGCCAUUCAGGAUGGAGAUUUUUUGCCAGCAACCGUGUUUCAGAGUGUUGGUGGAUGGACACCACCUUUUUGAUUUUUAUCAUCGUAUUCAAACAUUAUCUGCAAUUGACUCCAUAAAGAUCAGUGGGGACCUCCAGAUUACCAAACUUGGCUGAUGUUUAAAGCACUUCUAUUUCAAAUAUGAUCAAUCAGGUGCCACAACUACAUGUCUGAAAGAGGUGUCCUAGCCAGAUCUGGAGUCUUAAAAAGAAAACAAAAACAAAGACAGACUUCACUGUCUCUUUCUGUGUAGUUUAAGUCUGGAAUGACAACUUCAUCUGUGGUUUGCCCAGAAGAAGAAAGCUGGCAAGAAAGACACAGAGCCAUUAUGCUCAGAAUGAAGUAAUACAUCUAUGCUGGAUUUUAUUCAGACUAAACCAAAAUGGAUUUGUGAUGAUUUGUGAUUUGGUAGCAAUUACUCAUCAUUUCAAAGCAAGGUGAUAUUUAGAAACAAAAGUGCUAAAGACCUUAAAAACAACAAGGGUACAUCAAAUCCGUGCAUUUCUGCACUGACAUGCAAUUGCAUAGCACCACUGACACUUUAGUCAGGGUAUUUACAUAGAGUGCAGAUCGUGCAAAGUUUGGUUCUGCUUUCUUGGGGGUUGUUCUGGUUUUUGGUUUUGUUUUGUUUUUUUGGCACAGCAUCAUGUUAACUUGGAUUUCUAAGCGUUCUUGAUUAAUUUAUUUAUAUUUAGUAUAUGUAUUAAUGUAUCAGAGAAUGAGCAAUGUCUACAAAUUAUGAACUUAGGUUGCAGGGGAAAAUGUAUGCAAAACUAGCAUAAGAUAAGUGGAUUUUUCCCUUAAAGAAUUUGAGUAUAUUCUCCUUACCCCUCAACUUUAGUUUCUUAACAUAAAAUGCUAUAGAUGCUUUUGGGAAAAUUUUUUGCAACACUUCAAUAAAGCUCUAAAGUUCUUGUCGAUUAUGGGAA